CUCUAUUGCGUAACUCGUAUUAUUACUAAUUGUUAAUUAUCAAUUGUUACACACAAUUUUAACAGGUAAUUAAUUAGUUGAGAAUUCAAGAGGGCGCGAAGGAGAGGGGGUGAGUUCACAUUUAUUAUACGCUUUGUCAUGACGGUAAUUUCUCUGCUGAUCGUUUAUAGACUGUUAUAUAGAGAAAUAGGAUACCGUUAUAAACUGCAGUUUUUUCGGAUUUCUUCUUCGUUUUUUCUCCAUGUUUGCAGUCGAUUAAUUAUUCCUCGUUUUCGUCGGUUAUUUUGCAUUUGAAUAAAAUUCUCCAGUUUGUUUUCUAUAGGGCGCAUUUUUUUGUCAUAUUAAUCGGGACGAUUAUAAUGUUAAAUUUUGGUUGUAAAAAGAACAAAUGUUUCAAACGUCAUAAUUAAAUACCUGUACAUAAGACCAAAAUAGUUUGGGAUCUUCUAAAAGGAAACAAUUUUCUAGCACAUCUGAUAUCAUCAAAUUUUGCACAUCGAUAAAAUUCUCCUUCUAUGUACAAAACGAUUUUUAUAAAUUUUGAAAACCUCAAGGGUAUAUAUCAUCAGUUGACGGUCUAAUUAGUGAUUAAAGAGUUAAAUUUUUUUUUUUUAUAGCAACACAAAACAGCUGCGGUUCAUCACCGUAAAAUAAAUUACGAGUUCAAAGAAGACACCCGGUGCAGUGAGGAUAAUUUAAUCUUUAGAACCGGAAAGGAAUUGUUGAAAUCCAUCUCACGGUGUUAUCUGAAUCUUUGGACUUUGGAACAUUUGAAUAAUCUACAGAAAAGGGACAACUUUAUAUGUUUUGGAAGACCCUCUGAAAGACGUUGGUUUUUUUACAUACUCCUGUGGUUCAACUGAUAACAGAAAACCACUUGAUAAGGACUAAAAAUCUGAACAAACAACAAUUCCUCAAAAGAGGAUUUUUGUAAAGCCUCUCUAUUAAAAUGUAGUACAACAUA